rnacentral:rRNA from 1 species
AACGUAGGUUCCGAGCGUUAUCCGGAUUUACUGGGCGUAAAGCGCGUUCAGGCGGUUUGGCAGGUCGGGCAUGAAAUCUCUCGGCUCAACCGGGAGAGGUUGUCCGAUACUGCUGGACUUGAGGGCAGUAGAGGGUGGUGGAAUUCCGGGUGUAGUGGUGAAAUGCGUAGAUAUCUGGAGGAACACCGGUGGCGAAGGCGGCAUCCUGGACCGGCAUUGACGCUGAGGCGCGAAAGCCAGGGGAGCAAACGGG